rnacentral:rRNA from 1 species
GCUUAACACAUGCAAGUCGAGGGGCAGCAUUUCAGUUUGCUUGCAAACUGGAGAUGGCGACCGGCGCACGGGUGAGUAACACGUAUCCAACCUGCCGAUAACUCGGGGAUAGCCUUUCGAAAGAAAGAUUAAUACCCGAUGGUAUAAUCAGACCGCAUGGUCUUGUUAUUAAAGAAUUUCGGUUAUCGAUGGGGAUGCGUUCCAUUAGGCAGUUGGUGAGGUAACGGCUCACCAAACCUUCGAUGGAUAGGGGUUCUGAGAGGAAGGUCCCCCACAUUGGAACUGAGACACGGUCCAAACUCCUACGGGAGGCAGCAGUGAGGAAUAUUGGUCAAUGGGCGCAGGCCUGAACCAGCCAAGUAGCGUGAAGGAUGACUGCCCUAUGGGUUGUAAACUUCUUUUAUAUGGGAAUAAAGUUUUCCACGUGUGGAAUUUUGUAUGUACCAUAUGAAUAAGGAUCGGCUAACUCCGUGCCAGCAGCCGCGGUAAUACGGAGGAUCCGAGCGUUAUCCGGAUUUAUUGGGUUUAAAGGGAGCGUAGGUGGACAGUUAAGUCAGUUGUGAAAGUUUGCGGCUCAACCGUAAAAUUGCAGUUGAUACUGGCUGUCUUGAGUACAGUAGAGGUGGGCGGAAUUCGUGGUGUAGCGGUGAAAUGCUUAGAUAUCACGAAGAACUCCGAUUGCGAAGGCAGCUCACUGGACUGCAACUGACACUGAUGCUCGAAAGUGUGGGUAUCAAACAGGAUUAGAUACCCUGGUAGUCCACACAGUAAACGAUGAAUACUCGCUGUUUGCGAUAUACAGUAAGCGGCCAAGCGAAAGCAUUAAGUAUUCCACCUGGGGAGUACGCCGGCAACGGUGAAACUCAAAGGAAUUGACGGGGGCCCGCACAAGCGGAGGAACAUGUGGUUUAAUUCGAUGAUACGCGAGGAACCUUACCCGGGCUUAAAUUGCAUUUGAAUAUAUUGGAAACAGUAUAGCCGUAAGGCAAAUGUGAAGGUGCUGCAUGGUUGUCGUCAGCUCGUGCCGUGAGGUGUCGGCUUAAGUGCCAUAACGAGCGCAACCCUUAUCUUUAGUUACUAACAGGUCAUGCUGAGGACUCUAGAGAGACUGCCGUCGUAAGAUGUGAGGAAGGUGGGGAUGACGUCAAAUCAGCACGGCCCUUACGUCCGGGGCUACACACGUGUUACAAUGGGGGGUACAGAAGGCAGCUACCUGGUGACAGGAUGCUAAUCCCAAAAGCCUCUCUCAGUUCGGAUCGAAGUCUGCAACCCGACUUCGUGAAGCUGGAUUCGCUAGUAAUCGCGCAUCAGCCAUGGCGCGGUGAAUACGUUCCCGGGCCUUGUACACACCGCCCGUCAAGCCAUGAAAGCCGGGGGUACCUGAAGUACGUAACCGCAAGGAGCGUCCUAGGGUAAAACUGGUAAUUGGGGCUAAGUA